UAUUGCACAAUGGGCGAAAGCCUGAUGCAGCAACGCCGCUUGAGCGAUGAAGGCCAUCGGGUCGUAAAGCCCUGUCCUCAAGGAAGAUACUGACGGUAUUUGAUGAGUAUGCCCCGGCUAACUACGUGCCAGCAGCCGCGGUAAUACGUAGGGGGCUAGCGUUAUCCGGAAUUACUGGGCGUAAAGGGUGCGUAGGUGGUUUCUUAAGUCAGAGGUGAAAGGCUACGGCUCAACCGUAGUAAGCCUUUGAAACUGGGGAACUUGAGUGCAGGAGAGGAGAGUGGAAUUCCUAGUGUAGCGGUGAAAUGCGUAGAUAUUAGGAGGAACACCAGUUGCGAAGGCGGCUCUCUGGACUGUAACUGACACUGAGGCACGAAAGCGUGGGGAGCAAACA
rnacentral:rRNA from 1 species